rnacentral:lncRNA from 1 species
AAAAAUAAUGUUAUCACGCUAUUCAAAGGGUUGGAAGAGUCUUGUUUGGAGUUGUGUGGGGUUGAAUAAAUAUAUUUGUAAUAAUUCAGAAGUUGGCAGAAAAAGAAAAGAAAAAUAGAAAAAGAAAAUAGAAAAGAAAAAAAAUGAAUUAAAAAAAUAGAAGGAUGUAAACAUACUUUUUAUGAAAAAGAAAAAAAGAAUAAAAAAAGAAAGGAGAAGAGAAAACAAUUGCUAUAUAGUUGUUGAAGUGAAUGAAAUCUUUUGUAAAUUCAACUCCCGCAGUUUCUUU